rnacentral:tRNA from 1 species
GCCUGGGUGGCUCAGUCGGUUGAGCGUCCGACUUCGGCUCAGGUCAUGAUCUCGCGGUUCGUGAGUUCAAGCCCCGCAUCGGGCU